rnacentral:rRNA from 1 species
CCUACGGGUGGCAGCAGUGGGGAAUAUUGGGCAAUGGGCGCAAGCCUGACCCAGCAACGCCGCGUGAAGGAAGAAGGCUUUCGGGUUGUAAACUUCUUUUCUCAGGGACGAAGCAAGUGACGGUACCUGAGGAAUAAGACACGGUGAACUACGUGCCAGCAGCCGCGGGAAUACGUAGGUGGCAAGCGUUAUCUGGAUUUAAGGGGUGUAAAGGGCGUGUAGGCGGGAAAGCAAGUCAGAUUUGAAAACCAUGGGCUCAACCUGUGGCCGGGAUUUGAAACUGUUUUUCUUGAGUACUGGAGAGGCAGACGGAAUUCCUAGUGUAGCGGUGAAAUGCGUAGAUAUUAGGAGGAACACCAGUGGCGAAGGCGGUCUGCUGGACAGCAACUGACGCUGAGGCGCGAAAGCGUGGGGAGCAAACAGGAUUAGAUACCCGUGUAGUC